rnacentral:rRNA from 1 species
CACGGAGUUAGCCGAUCCUUAUUCUUACGGUACCGUCAAGCUGCUACACGUAGCAGUGUUUCUUCCCGUACAAAAGCAGUUUACACACCAUAGAUGCGUCAUCCUGCACGCGGCAUGGCUGGUUCAGGCUCUCGCCCAUUGACCAAUAUUCCUCACUGCUGCCUCCCGUAGGAGUCUGGUCCGUGUCUCAGUACCAGUGUGGGGGAUCUCCCUCUCAGGACCCCUACCCAUCAUUGUCUUGGUGUGCCGUUACCACACCAACUAACUAAUGGGACGCAUGCUCAUCUUGUACCGUUGGAACUUUAAUAAUCAAGUGAUGCCACUCAAAUAUACUAUGGGGUAUUAAUCCAAAUUUCUCUGGGCUAUCCCCCUGUACAAGGUAGAUUGCAUACGCGUUACGCACCCGUGCGCCGGUCUCAAAGUCCGAAGACUUCUACCCCUCGACUUGCAUGUGUUAGGCCUGCCGCUAGCGUUCAUCCUGAGCCAGGAU